GCGAGUCUGUUUGGCAUAUCCCCAUCGGGAUCCCAGCUACAAUGAGUGCUGCCCAGGAGUCUCACCCGCACGGGGUGAAACGUUCAGCCUCCACCGACAACGAUCUUGGAUCUAGCAAUUGGGAGGCAGCAGACUCGGGCAAUGAAGAAAGAAAACAGAAGUUCUUGAGACUUAUGGGUGCAGGAAAGAAAGAACCCACUGGCCGCCUUGUUAUAGGAGAUCACAAAUCAACAUCUCACUUCCGAACAGGGGAAGAAGACAAGAAAAUUAAUGAAGAGCUGGAGUCUCAGUAUCAGCAGAGCAUGGACAGCAAACUGUCAGGACGGUACCGGGACGGGCUCGGCUUCAGUGAGGUAGAAGAUCAUGAUGGAGAAGGUGAUGUGGCUGGAGAUGAUGAUGAGGAAGACUCCCCUGAUUAUAUCUAG